AAACAGAUCCUCUCAGUCAGCUAAAGUUAUUUUAUAUGGAACAAUUUAAGGAUUGAGCAUAAGAACAUUUGAAGAUGCUGCCAGAGCCUCACUGGGCCAGUUACCUGUUAUCUCCAGACAGUGCAAUUGCACCAGGAAGGCAUAAAUGGGACUCAGUGUCCUCUCCACUGAGCUGAACAACUGCUAAGAGAUGGAAGCCAGAAGAACAAUGAGAGUGCCAACAAGCUUCACUGCAAAACUCAAAGAAUUGCUAAAUGAAAUCAGCAAAACAGAGUUCAAGACAACAAACAGCAGUGACAACAUGAUAGGAAGAUGCUGUCCAGAGGUAUACCUUGCUAACUCUUUCCAGCUGAGUGGGAAGGAAUACAUGUAUUUGAGAAUUUGGGAGGACAUGAAGAGGACUGCAAACUGGUGAAAAUCGAGGCUAACAACAAGAAAGGCAAACCCAAGAAGGCUGACUCUGCAUUUUCAAUAUCAAGAUCCCUUAGGAGCCAGGAUUUUCAGAGCAAAACUUUUUUCUUCCGCUUCCAGAAAGAUGUGAUCAUACGAUUCAGACACAGUGCUGGUGGAAGGGAGGGGUGGGAGGUGGUGGAUGAAAGCCCAGAUGAACUGGCUGAGAACCUGAUGAAUUUGGGAGGGUUACCACCAUGUCUCUCCCGGGGUUUCAUAGUUUUGUUUCCUUCCUUUAAUGAAACAUCUGGUUGCCCUUCCUCAUGGAGGGUGGCCUCCAAUUACUCUCUCUGAGUUAGCAAAGAAGAUCUCCUUCGCAACCUCCAAUCUUAUGGUAUUAGGGCUCUUAUAGUAUUAGAUGGAUCUGGGGCCACCAGUAAGUACAACUCCCCCGUUUUUCAGAAAUAAUUAAGAUCGAUCUUUGUCAGGCAACACGUUUCUCCAUGCUGCAUUGCCCUUUCUGGACUUUCCACACAAAUAUCUGAGGAGAAACAAUCCACAAAAUUUUAUCCAGCAGCUGAGAAAACUCUACGGCAGGCAGCACAGGGUAUCAGAAAGAUGUGUAACAGAAUCAUAGAAGGGCUGAGGUGGGAAAGGACCGUCUGGUUCAACCCUUGCUCAAGUACCUAUGGCCACUACCCAGGACCAUGUCAGACUUCUGAAGAUCUUCUCUGUGCCUAUCUUCAGUCACUCUCAUGGAAAAAAUGUGUUUUCCCUUUUAGAUGGGGCGUCCCAUGUAUCAGUCUGUGCCCAAUGUAGCUUGUUCUGUCAGUCAAGGAGAAUUUAACUAUCUGUGGUGAAGCAAACAGGUGAAAGCUAAUUUAUGUAUCUUGUUCUAGUGUUCAGCUGCAGUGUGUAGCACAGGACAGUCCUUGGCAAAAACUUUGGUUCAUUUCAGGGAAAGAAAUAUGUGAGUCUGGCAGUUCACACUGAAACGUCCUCAUCACUGUCAGCCACUCAUGACUGUAGUGUUUGGCACUGGAGAUGCCUUUAAUUCCAAAGGUGUGAAAUAUUACCUUCAGGCAACUCAACAAGCAUUUUCUUUCUGGAAUUUAGCCUUCAAAUCUACAAAUAGCAGCAAUACCACACAAAUAUUUAAAAUUAGAUAAUGGGUAGAACCUGCUGCUUUUAGUUUUCUUUUAAACUUUCCUGAGCUGCACUUCUUUAAGUUGCUACUUAAUUUCCCCCUGCUGUUAUCAGCUCUUGUGGUUUUUUUUUUGUCUGUUUCUUCUCACCUGAAUGGUGGAAUACAAUAGCUGUGUCACAGCAGUGCACCAGCCCCGAUGAUGUCAUGGUCAUGUCACAGUGGGCAUUAGCCCUGGCAAUGCUGUGGCUUUGUCGCAAUGAGCAGAAUGCUGGCAGUGGCCUGUGUCACAGGGGGGUCACAGAUGUGUCACCUGGCUGUCUAGGAGACGAGGGAUGGGCAGUCUUGGUGUGAGGCUGAGACGCUGCCUGGUCAACAGAAAUUGGGUGCUCCACUUGUUGAGUCACGUGUCUUUGGCAGCCACAAGAACACAACCAGGAACGUGGCCAGGUCACAGCACAACCCUGUCCCCCCCUCCUUCACCACCCACCUAGAAAGCAUUACACUUUUCUACAGUGAUGUUCACCAAUGGAUAAAGAGAUACACCCCUCAGUCUGUACCCUGCCAUGGACCUACAGGCAGCUGGAAGGUCUCCAGGACAAAGGGAUCUUCACAAUACUCUCCUUCUCUCCUCCUUACAAACUUAUGAGGGAAAAACUGUUGUUUACAUCAUCAGGAAGACAAAUGCUAAACUUCAUCAGCAUUAUUUGUGAUAAACAAGUAUUUAAAUAAAC
ensembl:lncRNA